rnacentral:rRNA from 1 species
GGUGGAGCGAUUUGUCUGGUUAAUUCCGAUAACGAACGAGACUCUAGCCUGCUAAAUAGUUCGUCGAUGGCACUCUGUCGGCGCUAACUUCUUAGAGGGACAAGUGGCGUUCAGUCACACGAGAUUGAGCAAUAACAGGUCUGUGAUGCCCUUAGAUGUCCGGGGCUGCACGCGCGCUACACUGGCAAAAUCAGCGUGCUUGUCCUUCCCCGAAAGGGGUUGGUAAACCCUUGAAAAUUUGCCGUGAUUGGGAUCGGAAAUUGCAAUUAUUUUUCGUGAACGAGGAAUUCCAAGUAAGUGCGAGUCAUCAACUCGCUUUGAAUACGUCCCUGCCCUUUGUAC